AUGAACGCUAGCGACAGGCCUAACACAUGCAAGUCGAGGGGCAGCGAAGAGGUAGCAAUACCUUUGUCGGCGACCGGCGCACGGGUGAGUAACACGUAUGCAAUCCACCUGUAACAGGGGGAUAACCCGGAGAAAUCCGGACUAAUACCCCAUAAUAUGGACGCUCCGCAUGGAGGGUCCAUUAAAGAGAGCAAUUUUGGUUACAGACGAGCAUGCGCUCCAUUAGCCAGUUGGCGGGGUAACGGCCCACCAAAGCGACGAUGGAUAGGGGUUCUGAGAGGAAGGUCCCCCACAUUGGAACUGAGACACGGUCCAAACUCCUACGGGAGGCAGCAGUGAGGAAUAUUGGUCAAUGGUCGGCAGACUGAACCAGCCAAGUCGCGUGAGGGAAGACGGCCCUACGGGUUGUAAACCUCUUUUGUCGGAGAGUAAAGUACGCUACGUGUAGUGUAUUGCAAGUAUCCGAAGAAAAAGCAUCGGCUAACUCCGUGCCAGCAGCCGCGGUAAUACGGAGGAUGCAAGCGUUAUCCGGAUUUAUUGGGUUUAAAGGGUGCGUAGGCGGCACGCCAAGUCAGCGGUGAAAUUUCCGGGCUCAACCCGGAAUGUGCCGUUGAAACUGGCGAGCUAGAGUGCACAAGAGGCAGGCGGAAUGCGUGGUGUAGCGGUGAAAUGCAUAGAUAUCACGCAGAACCCCGAUUGCGAAGGCAGCCUGCUAGGGUGCGACAGACGCUGAGGCACGAAAGCGUGGGUAUCGAACAGGAUUAGAUACCCUGGUAGUCCACGCAGUAAACGAUGAAUACUAACUGUUUGCGAUACAAUGUAAGCGGUACAGCGAAAGCGUUAAGUAUUCCACCUGGGGAGUACGCCGGCAACGGUGAAACUCAAAGGAAUUGACGGGGGCCCGCACAAGCGGUGGAUUAUGUGGUUUAAUUCGAAGCAACGCGAAGAACCUUACCAGGUCUUGACAUCCUACUAACGAGAUAGAGAUAUGUUAGGUGCCCUUCGGGGAAAGUAGAGACAGGUGGUGCAUGGUUGUCGUCAGCUCGUGCCGUGAGGUGUCGGCUUAAGUGCCAUAACGAGCGCAACCCCUAUCGACAGUUACUAACGGGUGAAGCCGAGGACUCUGUCGAGACUGCCGGCGCAAGCCGCGAGGAAGGUGGGGAUGACGUCAAAUCAGCACGGCCCUUACGUCCGGGGCGACACACGUGUUACAAUGGCAGGUACAGAAGGCAGCCAGUCAGCAAUGACGCGCGAAUCCCGAAAACCUGUCUCAGUUCGGAUUGGAGUCUGCAACCCGACUCCAUGAAGCUGGAUUCGCUAGUAAUCGCGCAUCAGCCAUGGCGCGGUGAAUACGUUCCCGGGCCUUGUACACACCGCCCGUCAAGCCAUGGAAGCCGGGAGUACCUGAAGCAUGCAACCGCAAGGAGCGUACGAAGGUAAUACCGGUAACUGGGGCU
rnacentral:rRNA from 1 species